rnacentral:rRNA from 1 species
UACGUAGGGUGCGAGCGUUAAUCGGAAUUACUGGGCGUAAAACGUGCGCAGGCGGUUUUGUAAGCCAGAUGUGAAAUCCCCGAGCUUAACUUGGGAACUGCAUUUGGGACUGCAAGGCUAGAGUACGGCAGAGGGGGGUAGAAUUCCUGGUGUAGCAGUGAAAUGCGUAGAUAUCAGGAGGAAUACCGAUGGCGAAGGCAGCCCCCUGGGUCGAUACUGACGCUCAUGCACGAAAGCGUGGGGAGCAAACAGG